GCCGCUGUGGCGGAAUGGCAGACGCAUGCGACUCAAAAUCGCACGGGAAACCGUAUGGGUUCAAGUCCCAUCAGCGGCA
rnacentral:tRNA from 1 species